AGUGAACGCUGGCGGUAGGCCUAACACAUGCAAGUCGAACGGCAGCACAGUAAGAGCUUGCUCUUACGGGUGGCGAGUGGCGGACGGGUGAGGAAUACAUCGGAAUCUACUUUUUCGUGGGGGAUAACGUAGGGAAACUUACGCUAAUACCGCAUACGACCUACGGGUGAAAGCAGGGGAUCUUCGGACCUUGCGCGAUUGAAUGAGCCGAUGUCGGAUUAGCUAGUUGGCGGGGUAAAGGCCCACCAAGGCGACGAUCCGUAGCUGGUCUGAGAGGAUGAUCAGCCACACUGGAACUGAGACACGGUCGAGACUCCUACGGGAGGCAGCAGUGGGGAAUAUUGGACAAUGGGCGCAAGCCUGAUCCAGCCAUACCGCGUGGGUGAAGAAGGCCUUCGGGUUGUAAAGCCCUGUUGUUGGGAAAGAAAAGCAGCAGGUUAAUACCCCGCUGUUCUGACGGUACCCAAAGAAUAAGCACCGGCUAACUUCGUG
rnacentral:rRNA from 1 species